GUAGUCCACGCCGUAAACGAUGCAUGCUAGACGUUGGAAACCUCACGGUUUCUUGUGUCGCAGCUAACGCACUAAGCAUGCCGCCUGGGGAGUACGGCCGCAAGGUUGAAACUCAAAUGAAUUGACGGGGGCCCGCACAAGCGGUGGAGUAUGUGGUUUAAUUCGACGCAACGCGAAGAACCUUACCAACCUUUGACAUGUCCAGUAUGGAUCUAGGAGACUAGGUCCUUCAGUUCGGCUGGCUGGAACACAGGUGCUGCAUGGCUGUCGUCAGCUCGUGUCGUGAGAUGUUGGGUUAAGUCCCGCAACGAGCGCAACCCUCAUCUCUAGUUGCCACCAGGUAAGGCUGGGCACUCUAGAGAAACCGCCGGUGAUAAGCCGGA
rnacentral:rRNA from 1 species